rnacentral:lncRNA from 1 species
CUGGACCUAAAAGGAAAAAGCAAACACGUUUCAGGCUUCAAACAGGCGUAUACACUGUGUCUCCACAAACCCAGUCACGUUAUUUUCCUGAAUAGAUGAAGAUCAGCUUACGCCCAGAGACAGACACAGACUGUGAAUGUUCAAAACAAUCCAUCCCCGAGGUCAGUGUGAAGUUCUUUGCCAGCCUGGGGACCUCUUUCCAUCUCACUGAGGAAUGAGGAACAGAAUCUGGUCUUCGGUACUGCACAAAUUCUCCACAUAUCAAGGAGACAUCUACCAUUGAAGGAGAUUUUGAUAUGUAAACUGAAGGUUAACAUGAAAUACAAGGUACAUUAUUAAUUCUU